rnacentral:rRNA from 1 species
AAUACUCGUUUGAGUAGCAUUUAUUAGAUUGAAACCAAUGUAAUUGUUGAAUCAUAAUAACUGUGCGGAUCGUUCGUCAAGAGCGAUGAAUCGACUGGGUUUCUGCCCUAUCAGUUUUGGAUGGCUGUGUAUUGGACAGCCAUGACAUUGACGGGUAACGGAGGAUUAGGGUUCGACACCGGAGAGGGCGCCUGAGAGACGGCGACCACAUCCAAGGAAGGCAGCAGGCGCGUAAAUUACCCAAUGCUAAUUCAGCGAGGUAGUGACAAGAAAUAACGAUUUUCGGUCUUUCAGAUCGGAAAAUUGGAAUGAGAACAAUUUAAAUCCCUUAUCGAGGAUCAAUUGGAGGGCAAGUCUGGUGCCAGCAGCCGCGGUAAUUCCAGCUCCAAUAGCGUAUAUUAAAGUUGUUGCAGUUAAAAAGCUCGUAGUUGGAUUUACGUUUGUUUUCAGUGAUUUGGCAAUUUCAUAAUUGUUGAGCAUUGCAAGGCAAACAUUAUUUGGGAGCAGGGGUUUCUUGGCAUUGAGUUGUUGAGAUUCAACUACCCAUCGUUUACUGUGAAAAAAUUAGAGUGUUUA